GACAAGAGAGACAAGGUGGGUGGACAGAGGUAGCAAGGUUGUCACCCCAAGGGCCUGUUCCGGGGCCCGUCACCAUGACUGUCAUACCCACACUGAUGCUGCAAUUAACCCUUGUUCAGAAACGGAUCUCCGUGUAAACGACUCUGAGCGGGUCAACCUUCCUUGCUUUUAUUUGUACUCGCGGAGGCUGAAGUGGCAAUAGGAAGCCUGUAACAAAGAGGUGUGGUGCCAGAGCAUGGACGAUAAAGUCCAAAGAUUGAACUAAGUCUCAGGUCCGCCACUCACACUUCUGCCACCUUAAGCAAGUUACUCUGCCUCCAGGGUACCUUUUCCUCGUCUGUAAAAUGGGCACAACAAUAACACCAACAUCUCUGAAUAGUUGUGAUAAACAAAUGAGGUAUGUAAAGUGCUUUGUAACUGUAACGUGCUGCACAGACGUUCACUAUUAUUAAUGACCUAAAUUUUGCUGCAAGGGAAGCCUCAGGCCAGAUUUACAUUUCUGGCCGACGAUGACUCAUACAACUUCCCUCACCAGAGCCACCUGGUUGACAAAAUAGGCCCCGGCAUCAUUCUGUGGUCCAACCGCUUGAACAAUCUAUUGAUUUCCUCUUGUGAAAUGUUACCUGCUCUGGGCAUACGGCCAGAAGGACCUUCACUGGGCAGCAGAGAACAUAGGACAUAAAGCAGCUCACAGGCAUCUGAGUCUGGCCCCAAAAGCCACUCCCAGAGGAUGCUUUGCACAGCAAUAUCACUGCUGAUAAUACUUCCCCAGAGGUCACAGGAAGUUACACAGCCAGAUGCAAGGAUGGCAAUACCUAUGCCCUGUGGCUCCUGCCCAACCCUUUUCCGUCCUGAUGGAGGGGAAGGUGACAAGAAUAGGCUCAAAGGAUGACUCAGCUCCAGUGACUAAGGGCCCAUUGAUGGCUAUGAAAAGGAAUGUCCAGUGCAGCUGCAGGUCCACUUGAGCCCCCCAAGCAAGCGCUCUCAAGCCCGCUGUCUUUGAGCCCAGUGUUUUCAGAGCCUGUUGCUGCAGCGAUGUCUGGAAUCCUCAACACCUGCACGUCAGCUUCCUGGGCAUUUCCACUCCCCUCCCUCGGCCCCCACCCUCCUCUUCCAUUUGCAUCUGAAAUGCAGCUGCUGGGGCCCUAUAGAGGGGAGCCAAAUGGACAGGAAUCUCCUUGUUUGCUCUCCCUCCCCUGAGUCAAACAGAAUCUGAAGCUCC
rnacentral:lncRNA from 1 species